AGAAGCUUGCUUCUCGCUGACGAGCGGCGGACGGGUGAGUAAUACUUAGGAAUCUACCUAGUAGUGGGGGAUAGCUCGGGGAAACUCGAAUUAAUACCGCAUACGACCUACGGGAGAAAGGGGGCAACUUGUUGCUCUCGCUAUUAGAUGAGCCUAAGUCGGAUUAGCUAGAUGGUGGGGUAAAGGCCUACCAUGGCGACGAUCUGUAGCUGGUCUGAGAGGAUGAUCAGCCACACCGGGACUGAGACACGGCCCGGACUCCUACGGGAGGCAGCAGUGGGGAAUAUUGGACAAUGGGGGCAACCCUGAUCCAGCCAUGCCGCGUGUGUGAAGAAGGCCUUUUGGUUGUAAAGCACUUUAAGCAGUGAAGAAGACUCCAUGGUUAAUACCCAUGGACGAUGACAUUAGCUGCAGAAUAAGCACCGGCUAACUCUGUGCCAGCAGCCGCGGUAAUACAGAGGGUGCAAGCGUUAAUCGGAAUUACUGGGCGUAAAGCGAGCGUAGGUGGCUUGAUAAGUCAGAUGUGAAAGCCCCGGGCUUAACCUGGGAACGGCAUCUGAUACUGUUAGGCUAGAGUAGGUGAGAGGAAGGUAGAAUUCCAGGUGUAGCGGUGAAAUGCGUAGAGAUCUGGAGGAAUACCGAUGGCGAAGCAGCUUCUGGCAUCAUACUGACACUGAGGUUCGAAAGCGUGGGUAGCAAACAGGAUUAGAUACCCYKGGUAGU
rnacentral:rRNA from 1 species